rnacentral:lncRNA from 1 species
CGGGCCUCGGGAGGAAAGGCCUUGAAAUAUAAAUGAAGAUGAAUAUUCAUAUUUGGCUCAAUAAGUGCCAGCUAUUAAUAUACAUGUCUGUCGGGAGGAGGAGGCGGCGCCGCGCCACCCUGCCUGCCUAACCGGGCUCCUAACGCACAACCAGCCUGGAGCGCCGCGCCUGGGCACAGCCCGAAGUGGGCUCUGAGCGGUGGCAGCAGCGGGGGCCAAGGCCCUGACCUCCCACCCCAUGCUUCUGCCCAAGCCCCCUCCCCACCGGGAGAAGGUGGCCUGCAGUGCCCGCUGCAGGCAUCACGCGGGCAUCACAGAACUGCCACCUUCAGGGGGACCCAGAGUCACCUCUGCAUCAAGCACACAGCUCCUAGCGGGGCUGCCAGCCCGGAGGGCUCAGGUGCAGCCAGGGCUCCACACCAGGAACCGCCUAGAGACGCAUGCGGAUAAAAGGCCGAAAGCUGCAGGGACUUGGCCGGAGUGGCUGCUCUCCCCGUGGAAGGCGGGCUUCCCGAGGCCCAGGUGCCAUGGCCGGGUCUCCACGCGCCGCCCCACCCGGUUCCUGGUGUCACUCAGCCUUUCUUUCUGGCCCUCUCGUGUGGCCCUAGACUCUGCCCAGACGUCUCCUCACACACAGCUGCCCCAGGCCUUCUCCACCGAUGAACCGUGGGCCGCCUGCAGUCGGCUGAGCACUGCCUGUCCUGCGACGGACCCCCGACUCGGAGACAAGGAGGAAGACCUCAGGGUCCAGGGGCCCUGGAGGAGUCAGCCCAGGGAGCACGUGUCUGAGUCCUGGGAGUGACACACCCGGGGUGGCUGUGUAGACCCCCCUUGAGCCAAGAGCGGGUGGGGCACCAGGUGGCCCCUGGGUCAAUGCCAGGAGGUCUGCUCCAGCCAGGGCCAGGGCCUGAGGUCCGCCACUGGGCCCCGGUUCAGACCCGUCAGGACUCAGCCCCGGGGGGACGGGAAGCGGGCGCUCAGCAGGCUGGCCUGGGGGUGAAUGCAGGGUCGGACGGAUGGACUGGAAGCUGGUCCAGGUACUUCUGCCUCGACAACAGCCAGGGGCAGGCUGGACGGUGAGGGGGUGCAGGUGCUGGGACAAGGCCCUGGGGCAGGGCCCCCCAAGGCCCGGCGUGAUCUGGGCCUGGAGCGCGGGGUGCUUUCACUGACCUGCGAGGCAGGCGCUCUGCGGGUGAGGCGGCUGAGGAGCAGAGAGGAGGCAGCGCACAAGCAGAGCCACCGCCCAGCCUGCUGUCCCAAGGUCUACAACGCGGCAAUGCCACUCGGUCCCGCAGCCAAAGGGGUGGCCUCCCACCGCCGGCAAGGGGGAGGGAUUUUAAAUGGAGUGUCUACUCCUCCCCUUCCUCUCUUUCCUCCCUCCCCUCCUCCCCCCUUCCUGUCCUUGCAGGUUUGCCCACAAGCCACUAGGGGAGGCCGAGCAGGUAGGUGUCUGCUCUGGGGGCGGGGGCGGGGGGAGGCCACGCUGGCCCAGAGCAGGUGUCCUGUCGGAGCCCGAGCAGGUCCACGUGGCAGGCGGGUCCAUCUCGGUGGGUGAGAGCACGGGAACAUGGGCAAGGAAGGUUCCUGGGACCGGGGUGUGCGGCGGGGGGCGGGGGGGCCUGAUUACAUACGGGGUUCCAAGUCAUAAAUGUAUAGAGGCUAACGGGAGCCCCGUUUCACACGGCCGGGGGUGGGGGUGACAAACAAGGAAGGGGAGAAAGUUAAAACUGGAGGCGUCGAUGGGAACGCACGGCUCUGAACAGAGACGGAGACGAAACGGGUGGCAGGAGACAAAAGCAAAGACCCAGAUGUGGACGUGAUCUGCCCAUCGCUGGACUCAUGUCCCCUCUUCCUUUGCUCAGCCCCCAGGCAGCCUGGGGACAGCGGCCGCCAGGAGCCGGGAGCUCACCUCACGCCACUUCUGCAUCGGAGGGUCGUCCUCUUUGCACGUCUCUUGGUCUCAGCCUACUUUCCACACAGCGUUUCCGCACGAAGGGACAAGGAGUGACGUCACAGCGGAGAAGCCCGGCAGACGCCGCCUGCACCCAGGGACCCAGGUGAGCGUAGGGCGCCUGGGGCGAGGGGCACCUGCCCCCGAGGAGGCGGUGAGAAGCCUACAGCGCGUCGGUCGUAUUUCCGCCCAGAGGGCACGGCCUGACCGGAAUCUUGAGACACAUCAGCCUCGAACUGAGGGACAUUUACCGAAGGCGCCGUCGAGGAGCGGCUGCGGAAGCGCUUCCAGAGGAAGGCGAUGAAGUGAACACGACUAAAGGAGACGCGCCUCUGGGCGGCUGUCCCCCCCCCAGCCUGUCCCCCAGGCUGAGGCUCAGACUUCUCCCCUCUUUCCAGCCUCUGCCCUCUGCCCGCCCCGCCCCACCAUCCGCAGCCCCGUCGCUCUGGCUCCCCAGGCACCAGGCUCCUGCGAGCCCCGGGCUUCAUCACACGGGCCCUGCUCCCACCGGGGUUCAGGGUUCCCUCUCCCCGAUCCCUUUACUCGCAUCCUUCCUACACGUCAAGGCCUGGUUUCCUCACUCCUCAGGAAGCCCCAUCAGACGACCCCGCUGGGCCCCGUCUUCCUCGGCUCCAGGGCGGGGUGGAACGCCCCCAACCCCACGAGUCGGGACAGCAGGGAGGAACCCUGCCUGGCUCAGUACAGGCGUAUAGGGUGUGGGGGUGUUCCAGGGCAGGGAGUGAGCCCCCCCAAGAUGCUGGUGUUGCCCCACGUGAUACAAUGGCCGUCCAGCAGGGGCAGGUGCCCCCAAGCCCUCAGGCCCUAGGCCCCUGCCCCUCGUGCCACAGCGCCCUCUCACCUGCCUGCUCAGCCCCUUUGCUCUGUCAGGCACCCUGGGAGCCCCGCCCAGAACGGUUCAGUAUCUGGUUUCUGUCUGCUGCCCUGGGUGCAACAACUCUGCUAGAGCAUGUCUCUGUCUCCCGGGUCUCGGGAGCUGGACUCGGUCUGCAGAGGCCGAACUGGCUCCCUGGCUCCGGCUCUGACCUCCCCCAGCCGAGCUGCUGAGGGCCUCUCCAAACAAGGUCACACCCUGGCAACCGAGAGCCAGUCAAGCUCCCUCCAUCAAGACUUUAACUAGAAAAAUAGUGUGCCCAUUUCUCUGUAAUACACCUCUGGGCUUUUUUAUUAUGACUUCAUUUCCCCUUGUAAUAUUGGAACGUCUCUAUAAUUGUAAAAGUGUAAUAGAAUCUAAUAGAAUUUCAUUUGGCGCCCGGAAUGCUCCGUGCCACGACCGCUCAUUCCGAGUGAAAUAAUGAUGUCUAAUGCCCACACACGGCGCCCCGUGACCUUAUUCAGUCUUGGGGCUGAUCGGGAAAUAUAUUGAUUCAAUUAUACACUGAUGACAGAUGAACUCAAAGAAAGAGGAAAAAAAGGUCAGCAUGUAUUUGAAAAUGUAAAUCUUAGCAAUGUCUUUGGGGUUCACCCCCCCAAAAAAGCCAUUUCAAAAUGCCAUUUGUGGUAAUAGUAAGGAGUCCCCGGCUCCAGGAGGGAGACUCAUCGGGGGGCAGCUGGAAAGGGGUGAACACUGUGUCGCUCCCUUCCAGUGGGGAUCAGACCCAAAUCCGCCCUGAGGGGCUCCACCGCCCGACCUCUCCCGGCACAGCCUCUUCCCCGCAGGCUAGGAUGCCACCCACAGCCAGGUAGUGGGGACAAGGAGGGGCCAGACAGGAAGGCGGACGCCAAGAGGGCUGGACCGUGGGCAUCGGGCGAGGGAAGAGCCUGGAAGAGCAGAAGAGCCGUCGCGUCAGACUGUCCAAUCCUAGAGCUCAGAGAUAUAUCAGACUCCAAGGCACAGUCACCUAAUUUCUCCAGUUAAAUUUUUCUACAUCAGGACUGUCUUACAGCAAAGAACACAAAUACGAAGCACGGCUCGAUGAGAUUUUUACAAAUGUGUAUCUACCUGGGGCCAGCACCCAAGUGGACAGAGAGAAUAUAGUCGGCCCUCUGUAUGCACGGCCUCUGCAUCUGUAGAUUCAAACUAUUCGAGCCUUGCAAAUAUUUGGAAACAUGCAAUUCCAGAAAGUUCCAAAGAGCAAAAUUUGAACUUGCCACACGCUGACAAGUAUUUACAUUGAGCAUGUACGGCGACUUAUUCAGCAUUUACAUUUUAUCAGGCAUAAAAAGUCAUCCAGAGACGACUUAACGUACAUGGGAGAAUGUGCACAGGUUAUGCAAAUGCCGCCCCCUUUUCUAUAAGGGACGUGAGCAUCCCUGGCUGCUGGCGUGAAGGGGGGGUCCUAGAACAACCCCUUGCACAUGGGGAGGGACGUUUUUCCAGUCCCCCAGGGGCCUUCCUCCUGACGCCUCAAAACCAGCAGCCCUGCAUCCGGGCAGGGAACCGCUGCCCCGGCCUCCACCCCACGCAUGUGCGCUGCCUGCCCCGCACUGAUACAAACGGAAUCACAAAGGCUGUUCUUCUCCGCUCCUCUGGCGUCGUGUCGGAGACGCACCCGUGCUGCGCGUACCAGCCGUGAUUCGCAUGAGGACUGCGACGCGACUAGGCCGGCGGACGUGAAGCAAAGCUGUCUUGAUAAUCAGUGGGGACCAUGAUGGUUCUUCUGUGACGUUUCGACGUUUUUAUUUUUAUUUUUUUGCUUUCUAGGGCCACAUUCGCGGCACAUGGAAGUUCCCAGGCCAGGCCAGGGGUCAAAGUGGAGCUAGAGCUGCCAGGCUGCACCACAGCCACAGCAACACGGGCUCCAAGCCGUGUCUGCGACCUACACCACAGCUCACGGCAACGCCGGAUCCUUAACCCACCAGGCGAGGCCAGGGAUCCAACUGCAUCUUCGCGGAUAUGAGUCGGAUGUGUUUCUGCUGCAGGAACUCUUGACUUUUCAAAGUUUUAAUCAAAACAUUAAAGACUCUCUUGCUGUUGGUUAUAAAUGCAGAGGGAAAUGGAAAAACAGCAGCACUAAUACGCACCUAGUGCCCUGUCGCUGAAGCACUAAAAGUCAGAGUGCUGCACGUCUUUCUGAAGAAGCUCGUCGAGCUCUCCUUCCCCGCCGGUGCCUCUUUCCUGGGCCUCGGCAAACGGCCCUGCUGUUUCCCGGGCUGGCUCAGCUUCUAACGCUGCUCUUUCCGCACAGUGAAAUAGCUCAGGAAGUUUCUCCAUCAACGUUUUCUGCAAGCUCCUCUUUGGGACGCGGCAUCCCUUCUGUCGCCACCGCAUUCCUCACCGAGUGCCUGCGGCUGCACGCGCAGCACCCAGCGGUGGCCUCGUCGCAUCUGCGCGAGGCGCUCUCUCUUCUGCAGCCGCGCGUACGUCUGAUUCAAAUUGCACUUCGAUCAUCAUUGACCUUCACUUCUUUGUUGUACUUUCACCUCUGUGACUAAUACCUUCUUCCACUUGUUGACUUUUGUCAGGUGUUGCUUGUGUUUAGAACUUGGAGAGGAGGCGGCGGCACAGCUGGGCACGCCGCUGUCCACUGGUGACAUGAACAGCAGUGUCCAGUGGCUAAUCACCCGCAGACUCCCAAAGAAGCGACACGAUGGGUCACAGAUCACAGUGUGCACCUGCUAUUUACACAGCGAUCUGAAGAGCUAGCAGAGAAGUCUGUGGUUUACGUAGUUACAGUUAAUACAACAUGGUAAGUAAGAUUUGAACUGUUUAUUAGGAAACUAGUAUUAUCUAACUAUGUAAACUGAAACCUGUGCGUAUUGGACCCAUGUAAAAUGAAGACUGCUUAUAUAAACAGUGGG